rnacentral:rRNA from 1 species
UAAUACGGAGGGUGCAAGCGUUAAUCGGAAUUACUGGGCGUAAAGCGCACGCAGGCGGUUUGUUAAGUCAGAUGUGAAAUCCCCGGGCUCAACCUGGGAACUGCAUUUGAAACUGGCAAGCUAGAGUCUCGUAGAGGGGGGGUAGAAUUCCAGGUGUAGCGGUGAAAUGCGUAGAGAUCUGGAGGAAUACCGGUGGCGAAGGCGGCCCCCUGGACGAAGACUGACGCUCAGGUGCGAAAGCGUGGGGAGCAAACAGGAUUAGAUACCCUGGUAGUCCACGCUGUAAACGAUGUCGAUUUGGAGGUUGUGCCCUUGAGGCGUGGCUUCCGGAGCUAACGCGUUAAAUCGACCGCCUGGGGAGUACGGCCGCAAGAUUA